GUAAUAUCAAAUAUCAAGAAAAUAUAAUCAAGAUUAGAAAAAUAUACUGAUUGAUGACUAAAACUGGAGUCAUAGCUGAGUCCUAGUGCCAGAAAUUUAUAAAUUUCUACUUUUUUACUAGUAUUAGCUUGUAGAUUUUCUUGUAGUCUUUUUAAUCUUCCUCUGGUUUGGGUUAUGGUGGCCUCUAAUCAGCAGCUUAUAGUGAAAGUCAAAAGUUUUCUAGGCCGAGUUCUUCUCCGAUUCAUCGACAUCAUCAUCAUUAUCGUCG
rnacentral:misc_RNA from 1 species